GUUUGCAGUUAAAAACACAAAUGAACAGGUAUACAUCAGCAUCUAUUGGUAAUGACAGCAGCAACACUUUCUCGAAAAGAAAAGCAGGAUCUGGCUACUCUGGGUCCGAGUUGUCUUGCUGCCUUUGAGGAGCACGUGCUGCAGCAGACGGCGUGUGGAGCCCCUGCCAGACAGGCGCAAGGGUUGGGCUUGCAGAUCUCAACAGCUCCAUUGCCAUGACGAAUGAAGCUGUCAGAGGAAGAUAUGAUUCUCUGGGCUUGGUCUACAGCUGUAGACCUCAUCUCUUCUUCCACUUCUCCAUGGCUCUGGAUAGCUGAGCUAAAGCAACAUGUAGAUAACUAACCAUAAACAAGCUCCUGGGAAUACUCCAGUAUUUGUGACCUUGUUUGUAGCAGGAGGAACAUAUUUGUUAUGCCUCCAUUUCAGAGAAGCUUAUUCAGCUUCCAGUGAUUAUUGCAUGGCCUUAAGCCUUGUAGGGGUUAUUUAAUAUUAUAUUUUCCUUGCUAACACAUGCC
rnacentral:lncRNA from 1 species